CAGCUCUGGUUCCUCUGCAUCCACCGAGAAAUUCUUUCGCCUUUUACUAAAGAUUUCCGUGCAGAGGAACGUUUAUGAGUAUACGCCAAUUUUUGGAGUCCCAGCUUCGGCUAGGGAC
rnacentral:snRNA from 14 species